AGGCCUAAAAGAACAUUUUCGUCAGGACAGACAUUUUUGACUUUUCAUAGAUUUCCUACACACAAUCCUGAGCGAUUGAAACUGUGGUUGCUCGCGCUGCACUUGGAUAUCAACACAUCCGAACAUGCUCUAAUAUGUAAGAGAGUGUGCAGUGAUCAUUUUUUCGAGGAUGAUUUCAAACCCUCCCAGCAAGGACAUCGCCGUUAUCUGAAAGCGUCGGCGGUGCCCAGUACGUUUUUACAGCAAACAGAGUAUCCGUCUCGUGUAAAUUUAGAGUCUCCAGCAACAGACAGUAACGCUGAGCUGGGGUCCAUGAAGCAGUAGAGUUUUUGGCGAAUGUUCCACAGUCAACACCAGUAAAGCAACAGGACUCUGAUCCAGGAACUACCACGAGACAGUUUGCAGAUGCUCCAUCUAAACUUCGUUUACUGCUCACAAGUCCUGAAAGUGUUAGAAACAGGAAAACACCCUCAUCAUCUGGAAUAUAUUUUGCCCAACCUGCAAUACACUCCAACCAGACUCCCCCUGUGUAUAAUCAACCAGAACAGAUUGAAGAGCAAUUAGAAGAAAGUUUGGCGCUUGAUGUUAGCCUGCUUUCCAUAGAACCUCAAUCGGACAAGAAAGAUCUUAGUUUUCAGCCACUGAGUUCAACAUCAACGUCUACCACAAACUCAGAAGAAGAGGAAUGUGAAAUGCAUUGGAAACA